rnacentral:rRNA from 1 species
UACAGAGGGUGCGAGCGUUAAUCGGAAUUACUGGGCGUAAAGCGUGCGUAGACGGUUAUUUAAGUCGGAUGUGAAAGCCCCGGGCUCAACCUGGGAAUUGCAUUCGAGACUGAAUAGCUAGGGUGCGGUAGAGGGAAGCGGAAUUUCCGGUGUAGCGGUGAAAUGCGUAGAUAUCAGGAGGAACACCGGUGGCGAAGGCGGGACUCUGGGCCGAUACUGACGCUGAGGAGCGAAAGCGUGGGGAGCAAACAGG